rnacentral:rRNA from 1 species
UGCGUAGGCGGAAAUUUAAGUCAGUGGUGAAAGCCUGCAGCUCAACUGUAGAAUUGCCAUUGAUACUGAAUUUCUUGAAUCUAAUUGAAGUGGGCGGAAUAUGACAUGUAGCGGUGAAAUGCUUAGAUAUGUCAUAGAACACCGAUAGCGAAGGCAGCUCACUAAGUUAGUAUUGACGCUCAUGCACGAAAGCGUGGGGAGCGAACAGGAUUAGAUACCCUGGUAGUCCACGCUGUAAACGAUGAUUACUCGCUAUUGGCGAUACACUGUCAGUGGCUAAGCGAAAGUGAUAAGUAAUCCACCUGGGGAGUACGAUCGCAAGGUUGAAACUCAAAGGAAUUGACGGGGGCCCGCACAAGCGGUGGAGCAUGUGGUUUAAUUCGAUGA